rnacentral:rRNA from 1 species
AUGAACGCUAGCGGCAGGCCUAAUACAUGCAAGUCGUACGGGAUAAGUUGUAGCAAUACGACUUUGAGAGUGGCGUACGGGUGCGUAACACGUAUGCAACCUACCUUUGACUGGGGAAUAGCCCGGAGAAAUUCGGAUUAAUACCCCAUAACAUAAUGAAAUGGCAUCAUUUUAUUAUCAAAACUACGGUGGUCAAAGAUGGGCAUGCGGCUGAUUAGCUAGUUGGUGAGGUAACGGCUCACCAAGGCUACGAUCAGUAGGGGGUCUGAGAGGAUGUCCCCCCACACUGGUACUGAGACACGGACCAGACUCCUACGGGAGGCAGCAGUAGGGAAUAUUGGUCAAUGGACGCAAGUCUGAACCAGCCAUGCCGCGUGCAGGAUGACUGCCCUAUGGGUUGUAAACUGCUUUUAUCAGGGAAGAAACCCUUCUACGUGUAGAGGGCUGACGGUACCUGAGGAAUAAGGAUCGGCUAACUUCGU